rnacentral:ncRNA from 1 species
AAAAUGGCGAUGAAAAGGAAUAGUACCUGUUCGGAAUGGCACAGAGAGAGGACCGCUGGUGGAAGGUUCUCCCGGGAAGACAGGGAACCGGCCUUGGAGCUGCCUGUGAGGAGCAGGACGCGGGCUUUGGCGUUAGAAAAGCAUAAAGAGGGCGGCAGAAAAACAGCCGUCAAGAAGGGUGGUACCGCCGAAUCCAAGACAUCGGUCCCUGUU